AAGCAACAAAAUCAAAUGUGAUUAUUAAUUGCGAAACAAGGCUGAAACAAGUCCUGUAGCAGAAUCAAUCCCAAAUACUUUUAGAGAAGGCCCUUGCGAAGUUUUACACCUUCUACUACGCUUAUAGCAUGCCAACAAAAUUAGCAGCCAAAUACCUUUCUCUAUUAGGUCAAUUCGUAGCAACUGAAUACAAUGGCACCACAGGUGAUGGUGGCAAAACGAUAUUACCCAUAUCUUCUGAACUCGACUAGCUGUAUUCUUCAAAUCCGACCAUAUACAAAAUCCUAAAGGUACUAUACCAAAUUGAAUGUCGUAUUGAACGUGUGCUGGUUGAUUUUUCUAGAUUUUGCACGAUCCUGCAAGAUGUAUAACUGAGAUAUUUUUUAUUCCUCCAAUACAACCUGGGCACCCUUGCAAACCUUCAAUGUUCCACAUCCAUCAAAGAACUUAUAAUCCUUUGAAUCAAGGAUAGGCAAUGAGAUAAGAUUCUUUUUCAAAUCUGUAACAUGUUGAACUUGGACAAUGGUUCUAAUUGUCUCAUUCAUUAACUUCAAUCUGACUUUACCAAUUCCAGAAACCCGACAAGGUGCGUUGUUUCCUAUAAUUAUGAUAACUUUGGAACUGUUUCAUGUUGUAGUAAACAAGUCCAAUUAGGACAUAUAUAAAACACACACGCUAAAUCCAUAAUCCAAUCCUCUACAGGCUUAGAUUCGACGUCAAAAAAAGCCAAAAGAUCUCCAUCACUCACAUAGUUCUCUACGAGAUCUGCUUUGCCCAAAGUAUCUGAUUGCAUACCAUUCUAGUUUGCAGCCAACCUUUAUCUAUUUUGCAAUUUGUAGCAAUCCUAUUUAUUGUGUCCCCUUUUCUUGCAGUAUAUUUUGAAGUUAGACCUUGAUUUCCCCCUGCACAUCCACCAUCAAGAACUAGAUCAUUUUCAUGAACCUUAACAAUAUGCUUCAUCUUCUCCUUUGAAAAUAUAGCAUCUUAGAUUUCUUC
rnacentral:lncRNA from 1 species